UGUUAGCGGCGGACGGGUGAGUAACACGUGGAUAACCUACCUAUAAGACUGGGAUAACUUCGGGAAACCGGAGCUAAUACCGGAUAAUAUUUUGAACCGCAUGGUUCAAAAGUGAAAGACGGUCUUGCUGUCACUUAUAGAUGGAUCCGCGCUGCAUUAGCUAGUUGGUAAGGUAACGGCUUACCAAGGCAACGAUGCAUAGCCGACCUGAGAGGGUGAUCGGCCACACUGGAACUGAGACACGGUCCAGACUCCUACGGGAGGCAGCAGUAGGGAAUCUUCCGCAAUGGGCGAAAGCCUGACGGAGCAACGCCGCGUGAGUGAUGAAGGUCUUCGGAUCGUAAAACUCUGUUAUUAGGGAAGAACAUAUGUGUAAGUAACUGUGCACAUCUUGACGGUACCUAAUCAGAAAGCCACGGCUAACUACGUGCCAGCAGCCGCGGUAAUACGUAGGUGGCAAGCGUUAUCCGGAAUUAUUGGGCGUAAAGCGCGCGUAGGCGGUUUUUUAAGUCUGAUGUGAAAGCCCACGGCUCAACCGUGGAGGGUCAUUGGAAACUGGAAAACUUGAGUGCAGAAGAGGAAAGUGGAAUUCCAUGUGUAGCGGUGAAAUGCGCAGAGAUAUGGAGGAACACCAGUGGCGAAGGCGACUUUCUGGUCUGUAACUGACGCUGAUGUGCGAAAGCGUGGGGAUCAAACAGGAUUAGAUACCCUGGUAGUCCACGCCGUAAACGAUGAGUGCUAAGUGUUAGGGGGUUUCCGCCCCUUAGUGCUGCAGCUAACGCAUUAAGCACUCCGCCUGGGGAGUACGACCGCAAGGUUGAAACUCAAAGGAAUUGACGGGGACCCGCACAAGCGGUGGAGCAUGUGGUUUAAUUCGAAGCAACGCGAAGAACCUUACCAAAUCUUGACAUCCUUUGACAACUCUAGAGAUAGAGCUUUCCCCUUCGGGGGACAAAGUGACAGGUGGUGCAUGGUUGUCGUCAGCUCGUGUCGUGAGAUGUUGGGUUAAGUCCCGCAACGAGCGCAACCCUUAAGCUUAGUUGCCAUCAUUAAGUUGGGCACUCUAAGUUGACUGCCGGUGACAAACCGGAGGAAGGUGGGGAUGACGUCAAAUCAUCAUGCCCCUUAUGAUUUGGGCUACACACGUGCUACAAUGGACA
rnacentral:rRNA from 1 species